AGCUCCACCAUCGGCUGCCAUGGCCACCGAGAUCCACUUGGCAGUGAAAUCCCACUUCCGGUCAUCAUCUUCGGCAACCAAAGGCUAGAAUCGACUUUCCUCGACUCGCUGAAGCUCAUGCUCUCCUCGUUCCAGCGCGUUCCGCGAGUUUCCGCGCUCGUUCCCGAGCCAUGCCGCCGCCGGCAUGCUGCUGCUCGCCGCGAGCCGCAUGCACGCGCCCCUGUGCUGGGCCGCCGAGCGCCCCCACUCCGCCCGGCCUUGCUGAGUCCUUCCAUGGCCGCCCCAUCGUCCUCCCUCGCUGGAGUGCCACCGCACGCCGCCAUCACCGCCGCCGAGGUGCUGCUACCGCCGCCGGCGCCUCUCCGGUCGCCCCCAACCCCAACCAAGCCCACCUACAGAUACGAGGGUAGAUCAAUUGAAGGACGAUUGGAACAUAAAGAUGGAGAAAACUCCAAAAGAUGGUGUGUUAGUUUCUAUCCAGAAGGUGGUGGAUUAUCUAUCAUGAAACUCCAACCUACUAACUUAUAGUGAUACUUUACUCCCAGGUAUAAAAGCUAAU